AAUUCAGGAUGGUAAAAGAAGAAAGAUCGGGACAGAGACCUGCUUGGAGAUUUCUCAUACUCAUCCUUAGAUCUGCUUUGAGAACAAGAACAGGAGCCCAGAUCAGAUUUGGGCAUAGAUUUGCUCCUUGAGCUAGAUUUCCUGCCUUUUGAACGAGAACGUGAUCGACCUUUGCUCCGCAACCUGAUCAGGAGUGACUUUUUGAGAUACUUCGAGAUCUACUGUGGCUGCUCCUGCGACUCCUACUUCGUGACCAUCUUCUAGAUCUAUACCUGGAUCUGCUUCCAGAAUCAGAUCGCCUAUGGCUUGUGCCUGGCUUACCUUCAAUAAGCCUAAUAUUUCUGCACCAUCCAGUUUGUCCAAAGCAAGCUUCAUGUCAAAAUAGGAGUGAAACUCAACGCCCUCACUUGUGCAUUCCUUGUGAGCAUCAACAUAGG
rnacentral:lncRNA from 10 species